UGGGAACUUGAAAGGUUUCUUACAGCACGUUCUCAUUUCAGGCUGGAUUGGUGGUGAACUAGCUGCGGUGUGGGACGUUGGGGAAGAAGUACUGGGACUUACGGUGCGGUGUCGCCCAGGCUGCAGUGACGAUUGGGGCAGGAAAGGCAGUUCUGGGUGUGGUUGUGAGAACAGCAGCCAUGACAGCACUUCCCCCAAAACCGACUCCAGACAGGCCAGGAGCCAACAGAUGGGCAUCCUGGAACUCCUGCAGGAGGGCCAGAUCCAGGAUGUCCUGACACGGAACCCAGGACUGCUCUUCAAGACCUUACCCCUCCCAGUCGACAAAGUAUUCGAAGCCGCGUCCUUGCUGGCAGCAGUCCACUAGGCGAGGAUUCACUCGGAGGGACCGAGGAAAAUACAGUUGAUAAGCCACAGGGCUGAUGCACCAUUGGACCCAGAAGAGCCUAAUGUACUGAUGCUUUAACUUCUUAGCCUCUUAGCCUUAACUUCUUAGCCC
rnacentral:lncRNA from 1 species